AUUUCUACUUUAAUACCUAAUUCUCUUUCCACGAAAUCUGCCAUAACCUCAUUGACUACAUUUGGGUUAUUUGUAUCCAUCGGUAGACCCUGGACAAUAACAUUGUUAGCUUUUCUCUCUUUCUCGAACUUUUCUACCUUCAUUUUCACUAUCUUUAGUUCCUGUUUCAUUUCAUCAUUUUCUUUUUGUAGUUGUUGGUUACUUUGUUUGAAUUCAUUUAUUUCUUUUCUUAAUUCUCGGAGGUCAUUUCUAUAUUCUCGUUGUUCUUCUUUUAUUCCUUUUACCUCCGAUGUUAAACUUUGUGUUUGAUCUGUUAAAUUUUGCAUCAUUUUUAAAAGCUGAUCAAUUUUGUUUUCAUCUUUCUGUUGUUUGGUUGGUGUUCUGGAUAGUUUCUUGCUCUUGUUAAAAAUAUUGUCUGCAUCUAUCUCUAGACUUCUCUUUUUACUGUCUUCUGAGGUGUAAUCAUUAUCACUAUCCACCAUUUUUUAUGUAUUUGUACUCUAUAUUAAAGCAAGCGAUAAGCUCUAGUUCCCCAGUCGACCCGGCGAAGGCUCUAGAACUUCUCAAGCAAUAAUUGAGUAUGACUUUAAAUAUAUUAAAAUUCUUUUUACUUCGAAAUCUUGUUUACUUAGGCCCGGUCUUUUCACCUCCGAAUAAAUAUUCUCUUAUCUGGCAGUUAGCUAUCUGGAGGAUAAAUAUUUAUUCGCCAGAUAAACUGUACCCGUCUUUUCACGUCAAUUUAUGUUCCAGUUAGUUAUCCGGUAGAUAAGCUUAAAAGUAAGUUUGGAUUCCGAACACACCUGACUUUUAUGUUUAUUUUUAUAAUUUCAGCUUUAACUUAACCUAACAUAAUUAGAUUCAAAGAUGAUUUUAUCUAUUUUAUUUCCAUUUUGGAAGAAGGAAAUGUAAGUAAAUCAAAGAAUUACAACUUAAAAAAAUAAGUAUACAGUCAUAAGGUUUAGAAAUACAUUUCCAUAUUUUAAUCAGACAAUAUUGUUUUAGAAAGAAAACAUUGAUUAUGCUGAAAUAGUUUACUGUUGAACAAGAGGUAAAUCCAUUUUAAAUUAGAGGAAAACUGUUGAUUUGUAUGUAAAAUAGAGGACAAAGACAAGUUUAAAUAAAGACAAGCUAGCUAAUGAAACAGAUGCAGUGAUAUGACAAACACCUAGAAGAUGGAAUCCUGUGUUCUCAAAGAAAAAUCUAGUUCCAGAAAUAAGCUACCAAUAAUAAACUAGAGAAUGUAUUACAAGAAAGAACAACGCUAAUACUCAACAUAGCUCAAUUGCUUCAGAUAGAAAAAGAGGAGGAAAGGGUAGAACACAAGCGUGCCAGAGAAAAUUAAAGGGCAGAAGAGACACAAAAAUUCAUUGAUUUAUUAAAUUUAAUAAUUAAAUUAUACAAAGGACAAUUAAAUAAAGAAUAAAAAAUUA